rnacentral:rRNA from 1 species
UACGUAGGGGGCAAGCGUUGUCCGGAAUCAUUGGGCGUAAAGAGCGUGUAGGCGGUUCAGUAAGUCCGCUGUGAAAGUCAAGGGCUCAACCCUUGAAUGCCGGUGGAUACUGUUGAACUAGAGUCCGGAAGAGGCGAGUGGAAUUCCUGGUGUAGCGGUGAAAUGCGCAGAUAUCAGGAGGAACACCGAUUGCGAAGGCAGCUCGCUGGGACGGUACUGACGCUGAGGCACGAAAGUGUGGGGAUCAAACAGG